GAUCCUGGCUCAGGAUGAACGCUGGCGGCGUGCCUAAUACAUGCAAGUCGAACGCGCAGCGAGAGGUGCUUGCACCUUUCAAGCGAGUGGCGAACGGAUGAGUAACACGUGGAUAACCUGCCUCAAGGCUGGGGAUAACAUUUGGAAACAGAUGCUAAUACCGAAUAAACUUAGUAUCGCAUGAUAUCAAGUUAAAAGGCGCUACGGCGUCACCUAGAGAUGGAUCCGG
rnacentral:rRNA from 1 species